UGUUACUCAGGAGCAAAGUUUCCUUACUGUUGGAGAUGCAGCUCCUGAUGGCAUUGACUCUUAGCAGCAGCAACCCUAUUGACCACUAGGGGCAUAAGGGUAGAGAUAGCCAUUCUAGCUCCAAAAGAAAAAAGAGGCAGAGGCACUACUGAAGAAACAAGAAGGAGAACAACCUCACAGAAGCCUCACAGGUUUCAAAGUCAAUCGGAUGAUUUGCUGGUGAAGUUUUUACUCGAAGAUAAUGCACUCUGCAUCUCUCAUGUUG